UCUGGCACAAUGAUGAUUAAUUAUUGCCGUUUACCCAACAGAGUGUUUGUGGUGAGACAUUUACAAUCUGAAAUGCCAGC